rnacentral:tRNA from 1 species
GCCCGGGUGGUGGAAUGGUAGACACGUUGGACUUAAAAUCCAAUGAACAUUAUGUUCGUGGGGGUUCAAGUCCCCCUCCGGGUACCA